CCUACGGGUGGCAGCAGUAGGGAAUUUUGCACAAUGGGCGAAAGCCUGACGCAGCAACGCCGCGUGAACGAGACGCCCUUCGGGGUGUAAAGUUCUGUCAGUGGGGACGAAAAAUGACGGUACCCACAGAGGAAGCACCGUCUAACUCCGUGACAGCAGCCGCGGUAAUACGGAGGGUGCAAGCGUUGUCCGGAAGCAUUGGGCGUAAAGGGUUCGUAGGCGGCAUGUAAGGUCCGGUGUGAAAGGCGCAGGCUCAACCUUUGUAUGGCACUUGGUACUUGCAAGCUGGAAUGCGGUGGAGGUAGAGGGAAUUCCUGGUGUAGCGGUGAAAUGCUUAGAUAUCAGGAGGAACUUCGGUGGCGUAAGCGCUUUACUGGGCCGUAAUUGACGCUGAGGAACGAAAGCCAGGGUAGCAAAUGGGAUUAGAUACCCCGGUAGUC
rnacentral:rRNA from 1 species